AAAAACCGAGGUGGUAUGAGAUGGACCCGCGUCUGAUUAGCUGGUUGGCGGGGUAACGGCCCACCAAGGCGACGAUCAGUAGCCGACCUGAGAGGGUGGCCGGCCACAUUGGGACUGAGACACGGCCCAAACUCCUACGGGAGGCAGCAGUGGGGAAUAUUGCACAAUGGGGGAAACCCUGAUGCAGCAACGCCGCGUGAGUGAAGAAGUAUUUCGGUAUGUAAAGCUCUAUCAGCAGGGAAGAGAAUGACGGUACCUGACUAAGAAGCCCCGGCUAACUACGUGCCAGCAGCCGCGGUAAUACGUAGGGGGCGAGCGUUAUCCGGAUUUACUGGGUGUAAAGGGAGCGUAGACGGUUCUGCAAGUCUGAAGUGAAAGCCCGUGGCUUAACCGCGGAACGGCUUUGGAAACUGUGGAACUGGAGUGCUGGAGAGGCAAGCGGAAUUCCUAGUGUAGCGGUGAAAUGCGUAGAUAUUAGGAGGAACACCAGUGGCGAAGGCGGCUUGCUGGACAGUAACUGACGUUGAGGCUCGAAAGCGUGGGGAGCAAACAGGAUUAGAUACCCUGGUAGUCCACGCGGUAAACGAUGAAUGCUAGGUGUUGGGGAGCAAAGCUCUUCG
rnacentral:rRNA from 1 species